rnacentral:lncRNA from 1 species
AGUAAUUGCUGCAUAUUUAUUCAUAAUUUCAAAUUGUAUGGCUUAAUCCCAAACAUCUCAAAUGUGAAAUAUUUUAACACAUGACUGCACAAGAGACAUCAUCCAAGCUCAGAUACAAGAACACAGAAGAGUUUGUAAACUUCUUACCAGCACUUGAUAUUCUGCGCUCUCUCUCCCAUUCCAGCUGUUCCCUUUCUAACUGCUCUUGUCGCUCCCUUUCUUGCCUCUCCCGUUCCAGUCUCUCCAGCCUCUCUCGUUCUUGUCUUUCUUGCCUCUCCCGAUCCAGGCGUUCCUGCCGCUCCAGGCGUUCCUGCCGCUCCAGGCGUUCCUGCCGCUCCAGGCGUUCCUGCCGUUCCCGUUCUUGUCUCUCUCUCUCCAGCUGUUCUUGUUCCAGUCGCUCCCUCUCCAGCCUUUCCCUUUCUAACCUCUCUCUCUCCAACCUUUCUCUUUCCAUUCUUUCUCGCUCCAGCCUUUCCCGCUCCAGCUCCUUUUGCCGUUGCUGUUCUUGUAGUUGUCUUCUUUGAAUUUCCAAUUCUUCUUGGGAUGGGCCAUUUUGAACUUGAGCAGGUAGUUGUGAGUUUUGUCUAGGCAAUGUUGGCCCUGUUUCCUGUGAAUUUAACACUUCUAAGGCAUGCAUCAUGGCACUUGCGAAGACAUUGGCAUCCUCUUUGCUGCCAAAGUUGAGACCAUACACCUGUCUAGCAUCUCGCCACUGGUGGAAGGUCUGUGUAGCUUGAUUGUACUUCAACCCUUUAGGAAUGGCACAGUUUAUCACGAC